GAUAAGAGAGCAUUGAUUGCUCUUCCACCUAGGGAUUUGUGAAAGAAGCACAGAGGUCAAGCUAUGGCGAUGGAUUGGGCGAUGAAAAAGAAAAUAGAACAGCUUUUUUGAAGAUGAACUGAGAGACCAGAUCUAGGAAAUAAGCUCUUUGAUUCUCUUUGAUUCUACCAAUUUGAGAUAGUAGCUGAUAGCUCGGUGCAGAGUACAGAGCAAGAAAACAUUUUGUGAAGGGAGAACUUCAUCAGAUUGGAAACUAUUUAGGAUGACAUUGACUAUUUAGGUUUCAGUUCCACUGAUGUAUUAUGCCUUUUUCAAUCAUUAGUCAUGUCCCUUCUAAUGAAAAAAAACUUAUACUGCAACAAGGUUUCCUUGCUUUAGAGAUCAGUUUAAUCAACCCACUGUGAAUUGCCAUAGGACACAAUUGUUAGGUGAUGGUAAGUAAUUGAAAGCUUCAAUAUACCCUUGUACUGGGUUUUGAUAUUUGGCUACACUUAAUUACAUAACUUUUAUGAGUUGGUUGAUUGUGGUACACAAUUUACUUUUUUGUGAUGAAAUAUUGAUGUGGUCAAUAUUAUAGAGGCUUUAUUUUGGUAAUAAUUGGAGCUUAAUUUCUUUGCUCGUC